UACGUAGGGGGCAAGCGUUGUCCGGAUUUAUUGGGCGUAAAGAGCGUGUAGGCGGCCAAGCAGGUCCGCUGUGAAAACUCGAGGCUCAACCUCGAGACGUCGGUGGAAACCGUUUGGCUAGAGUCCGGAAGAGGAGAGUGGAAUUCCCGGUGUAGCGGUGAAAUGCGCAGAUAUCGGGAAGAAUACCCGUGGCGAAGGCGGCCAACUGGGCCGGUUCUGACGCUGAGGCGCGAAAGCGUGGGUAGCGAACAGG
rnacentral:rRNA from 1 species